rnacentral:rRNA from 1 species
CCCUUAGAUGUCCUGGGCUGCACGCGCGCUACACUGGAAGUUACGGAUUGAGAUACUACCUUGUCCGAAAUGGUCCGGGUAAUCACCUAAAAGCUUGUCAUAAUUGGAAUGGAUUAUUGUAACUAGUAAUCCUGAACGAGGAAUUCCUAGUAAGUCCCAGUCAACAGCUGGUACUGAUUACGUCCCUGCCCUUUGUACACACCGCCCGUCGCUACUACUGAUUGGAUGUUUAAGCGAGGUUCUCGAACUGCUAGUGACUGAUCUUCGGUGAGGUCGCAGUGUGGGAAGUGAACCUAGCUUUGGUGUCUAGAGGAAGUAAAAGUCGUAACA